rnacentral:tRNA from 1 species
GGAGGUGUGGCCGAGUGGUUUAAGGCAACGGUCUUGAAAACCGUCGAUGGGGAGACCUAUCCUAGAGUUCGAAUCUCUACACCUCCG